CUUAAAUCGCCCGGGUCCAUCUAGUGCUCCUCCAGGACAGAAUCAAAGCUAGAACUUCGCUCUCCAUCGCAGUACUAGGAAGCAGCUGAUUCAACUGAAGCUCUGCAAAUCUUCUCCGCAGAGUUACAAAUGUAAACUUUAUAUUGUUGAUAUUUAAUUUUGAAUGUAUAAAUUAUUCUGUUAUCAGAUUUUUUUUGGACUCCGCAGUUA